AUUGAACGCUGGCGGCAGGCCUAACACAUGCGAGUCGAGCGGAUGAAGGGAGCUUGCUCCUGGAUUCAGCGGCGGACGGGUGAGUAAUGCCUAGGAAUCUGCCUGGUAGUGGGGGAUAACGUCCGGAAACGGGCGCUAAUACCGCAUACGUCCUGAGGGAGAAAGUGGGGGAUCUUCGGACCUCACGCUAUCAGAUGAGCCUAGGUCGGAUUAGCUAGUUGGUGGGGUAAAGGCCUACCAAGGCGACGAUCCGUAACUGGACUGAGAGGAUGAUCAGUCACACUGGAACUGAGACACGGUCCAGACUCCUACGGGAGGCAGCAGUGGGGAAUAGUGGACAAUGGGCGAAAGCCUGAUCCAGCCAUGCCGCGUGUGUGAAGAAGGUCUUCGGAUUGUAAAGCACUUUAAGUUGGGAGGAAGGGCAGUAAGUUAAUACCUUGCUGUUCUGACGUUACCAACAGAAUAAGCACCGGCUAACUUCGUG
rnacentral:rRNA from 1 species